rnacentral:rRNA from 1 species
UACGUAGGUCGCAAGCGUUGUCCGGAUUUACUGGGCGUAAAGAGCGCGCAGGCGGCUGGUCAAGUCCGAUGUGAAAUCUCCCGGCUUAACUGGGAAACUGCAUCGGAAACUGAUCGGCUUGAAGGUGGGAGAGGGUAGUGGAAUUCCCGGUGUAGUGGUGAAAUGCGUAGAUAUCGGGAGGAACACCAGUGGCGAAGGCGACUACCUGGCCUGUUCUUGACGCUGAGGCGCGAAAGCUAGGGGAGCAAACGGG